rnacentral:rRNA from 1 species
UUAAGUGACUAAGCGUAGACGGUGGAUGCCUUGGCAGUCAGAGGCGAUGAAGGACGUAUUAACUUGCGAAAAGCCCAGAUAAGGCAGUAAAAGCCAUUUGAAUCUGGGAUAUCCGAAUGGGGAAACCCACCUGCAUAAGCAGGUAUCUUAGCGUGAAUACAUAGCGCUAAGAGGCGAACUCGGGGAACUGAAACAUCUAAGUACCCGAAGGAAAAGAAAUCAAUUGAGAUUCCGGCAGUAGCGGCGAGCGACCCCGGAUUAGCCCUUAAGCAGACUUGGCGUUAGGUGAACAGGUUGGAAAACCUGGCAAUAAAGGGUGAUAGCCCCGUAACCGACGGCGCCAUAUUUGUGAAAACGAGUAGGACGGGACACGUGAUAUCUUGUCUGAACAUGGGGGGACCAUCCUCCAAGGCUAAAUACUCCUGACUGACCGAUAGUGAACCAGUACCGUGAGGGAAAGGCGAAAAGAACCCCUGUGAGGGGAGUGAAAUAGAACCUGAAACCGUCUACGUACAAGCAGUGGGAGCCUCCNUUNGUGGGGUGACCGCGUACCUUUUGUAUAAUGGGUCAGCGACUUAAUGUUAGUAGCAAGGUUAACCGCAUAGGGGAGCCGUAGGGAAACCGAGUCUUAACUGGGCGUGUAGUUGCUAGCAUUAGACCCGAAACCGAGUGAUCUAGCCAUGGGCAGGUUGAAGGUUGAGUAACAUCAACUGGAGGACCGAACUCACUAACGUUGAAAAGUUAGGAGAUGACCUGUGGCUAGGGGUGAAAGGCCAAUCAAACUCGGAGAUAGCUGGUUCUCCCCGAAAGCUAUUUAGGUAGCGCCUCGGACGAACACUACUGGGGGUAGAGCACUGUUAAGGCUAGGGGGUCAUCCCGACUUACCAACCCUUUGCAAACUCCGAAUACCAGUAAGUGCUAUCCGGGAGACACACGGCGGGUGCUAACGUCCGUCGUGGAGAGGGAAACAACCCAGACCGCCAGCUAAGGUCCCAAAGUUAUCGCUAAGUGGGAAACGAUGUGGGAAGGCUCAGACAGCCAGGAUGUUGGCUUAGAAGCAGCCAYNCAUUUAAAGAAAGCGUAAUAGCUCACUGGUCGAGUCGGCCUGCGCGGAAGAUGUAACGGGGCUAAGCGAUACACCGAAGCUGCGGCAAUGNBMMNUUAUSSGNUAUUGGGUAGGGGAGCGUUGUGUAAGCCGUUGAAGGUGUGCUGAGAGGCAUGCUGGAGGUAUCACAAGUGCGAAUGCUGACAUGAGUAACGAUAAWGGGGGUGAAAAACCUCCWNCGCCGGAAGACCAAGGGUUCCUGUCCAACGUUAAUCGGGGCAGGGUAAGUCGGCCCCUAAGGCGAGGCCGAAAGGCGUAGUCGAUGGGAAACGGGUUAAUAUUCCCGUACUGCUACUUACUGCGAUGGGGGGACGGAGAAGGCUAGGUGGGCCUGGCGAUGGUUGUCCAGGUUCAAGGGUGUAGGCUGUAAUCUUAGGCAAAUCCGGGAUUACGUACGGUCGAGACCCGAUGUCGAGCCACCAAGGUGGUGAAGUCAUUGAUGCCAUGCUUCCGGGAAAAGCCUCUAAGCUUCAGGUAAGUAGGAACCGUACUCCAAACCGACACAGGUGGUCGGGUAGAGAAUACCAAGGCGCUUGAGAGAACUCGGGUGAAGGAACUAGGCAAAAUGGUACCGUAACUUCGGGAGAAGGUACGCUGCCCACGGUGAAGUCCCUUGCGGAUGGAGCUAUGGGCAGUCGCAGAUACCAGGUGGCUGCAACUGUUUAUUAAAAACACAGCACUGUGCAAAAUCGAAAGAUGACGUAUACGGUGUGACGCCUGCCCGGUGCCGGAAGGUUAAUUGAUGUGGUUAUCGCAAGAGAAGCCAUUGAUCGAAGCCCCGGUAAACGGCGGCCGUAACUAUAACGGUCCUAAGGUAGCGAAAUUCCUUGUCGGGUAAGUUCCGACCUGCACGAAUGGCGUAAUGAUGGCCACGCUGUCUCCACCCGAGACUCAGUGAAAUUGAAAUCGCAGUGAAGAUGCUGUGUACCCGCGGCUAGACGGAAAGACCCCGUGAACCUUUACUACAGCUUGGCACUGAACAUUGAGCCUACAUGUGUAGGAUAGGUGGGAGGCUUUGAAACGGCGACGCCAGUUGUCGUGGAGCCAUCCUUGAAAUACCACCCUUGUAUGUUUGAUGUUCUAACUUAGCCCCCUAAUCGGGGGUGAGGACAGUGCCUGGUGGGUAGUUUGACUGGGGCGGUCUCCUCCCAAAGCGUAACGGAGGAGCACGAAGGUGGGCUAAUCACGGUCGGACAUCGUGAGGUUAGUGCAAUGGCAUAAGCCCGCUUAACUGCGAGAGUGACGGCUCGAGCAGGUACGAAAGUAGGUCAUAGUGAUCCGGUGGUUCUGAAUGGAAGGGCCAUCGCUCAACGGAUAAAAGGUACUCCGGGGAUAACAGGCUGAUACCGCCCAAGAGUUCAUAUCGACGGCGGUGUUUGGCACCUCGAUGUCGGCUCAUCACAUCCUGGGGCUGAAGUCGGUCCCAAGGGUAUGGCUGUUCGCCAUUUAAAGUGGUACGCGAGCUGGGUUUAGAACGUCGUGAGACAGUUCGGUCCCUAUCUGCCGUGGGCGUUGGAUGAUUGAGGGGAGCUGCUCCUAGUACGAGAGGACCGGAGUGGACGAACCGCUGGUGUUCGGGUUGUGUCGCCAGACGCAUUGCCCGGUAGCUAAGUUCGGCACAGAUAAGCGCUGAAAGCAUCUAAGCGCGAAGCUGGCCCCGAGAUGAGUCAUCCCUAGAGCUUCGAGCUCUCUAAAGGGUUGUCGUAGACGACGACGUUGAUAGGCAGGGUGUGUAAGCGCUGUGAGGCGUUGAGCUAACCUGUACUAAUUGCCCGUGCGGCUUAACCAU